GACGAACGCUGGCGGCGUGCUUAACACAUGCAAGUCGAACGGGAAGGCCCUGCUUUUGUGGGGUGCUCGAGUGGCGAACGGGUGAGUAACACGUGAGUAACCUGCCCUUGACUUUGGGGUAACUUCAGGAAACUGGGGCUAAUACCGGAUAGGAGCUCCUGCUGCAUGGUGGGGGUUGGAAAGUUUCGGCGGUUGGGGAUGGACUCGCGGCUUAUCAGCUUGUUGGUGGGGUAGUGGCUUACCAAGGCUUUGACGGGUAGCCGGCCUGAGAGGGUGACCGGCCACAUUGGGACUGAGAUACGGCCCAGACUCCUACGGGAGGCAGCAGUGGGGAAUAUUGCACAAUGGGCGGAAGCCUGAUGCAGCAACGCCGCGUGCGGGAUGACGGCCUUCGGGUUGUAAACCGCUUUCGCCUGUGACGAAGCGUGAGUGACGGUAAUGGGUAAAGAAGCACCGGCUAACUACGUG
rnacentral:rRNA from 1 species